AAAUACAAUACAGCUUGAGAACAAUAUUAUAAAAAUAUAAUUUUUCAACAAUGCUUGAGAAACACUUAUGUUCCACAAACAUUUCUCAAAUCUGUCCCUUGUUGAUAAAUUAGUUUUGAUUUUUUGUGAAAAUUGUCAGCAAGAAAUUAUUUUCUUUGGCAAAAAACAAAAUCACGCGAAUUUAGGACCCAUUUGUGGACCGAACCCUUAAGAUUGGAAGCAUCAAAAAAGUUGCAGGAAUUCAAUAAAUGUGUAGUCUUAGUGGAAGAGAUGCAGAAGUUCAAAUAAGGGAGAAGAAAGCGUCAGGGUAUCAAGGCCACAUGCGGCAGUGACUACUGGGAUGUCCAUCAAGAAAAAACGUUAAAAAUGAUUAAAAACUAAAAAAAAUAAUAUUUUAUACUAUUACAAAAAUAAGCUUAUUAUAAUA